CACUGCUGAGGAGUCCCAUACCAGGACGAAACGGCCGUCCAGUGU
rfam:Schistosoma haematobium scaffold416_10, whole genome shotgun sequence.